rnacentral:rRNA from 1 species
AGUCGAGCGGCAGCACGGGAGCUUGCUCCUGGUGGCGAGCGGCGGACGGGUGAGUAAUGCCUAGGAAUCUGCCUGAUAGUGGGGGAUAACAACCGGAAACGGUUGCUAAUACCGCAUACGUCCUACGGGAGAAAGUGGGGGACCUUCGGGCCUCACGCUAUCAGAUGAGCCUAGGUCGGAUUAGCUAGUUGGUAGGGUAAAGGCCUACCAAGGCGACGAUCCGUAACUGGUCUGAGAGGAUGAUCAGUCACACUGGAACUGAGACACGGUCCAGACUCCUACGGGAGGCAGCAGUGGGGAAUAUUGGACAAUGGGCGAAAGCCUGAUCCAGCCAUGCCGCGUGUGUGAAGAAGGUCUUCGGAUUGUAAAGCACUUUAAGUUGGGAGGAAGGGCAGUCAGCGAAUACCUGGUUGUCUUGACGUUACCGACAGAAUAAGCACCGGCUAACUCUGUGCCAGCAGCCGCGGUAAUACAGAGGGUGCAAGCGUUAAUCGGAAUUACUGGGCGUAAAGCGCGCGUAGGCGGUUUGUCAAGUCGAAUGUGAAAUCCCCGGGCUCAACCUGGGAACUGCAUCCGAAACUGGCAAGCUAGAGUAUGGUAGAGGGUGGUGGAAUUUCCUGUGUAGCGGUGAAAUGCGUAGAUAUAGGAAGGAACAUCAGUGGCGAAGGCGACCACCUGGACCAAUACUGACGCUGAGGUGCGAAAGCGUGGGGAGCAGACAGGAUUAGAUACCCUGGUAGUCCACGCCGUAAACGAUGUCAACUAGCCGUUGGGAUCCUUGAGAUCUUAGUGGCGCAGCUAACGCAUUAAGUUGACCGCCUGGGGAGUACGGCCGCAAGGUUAAAACUCAAAUGAAUUGAC